CCUUUCUGAUCAUCAGGUUAGAUCAUUUCCUAAAAGGACAAACACAAUACAUUGAAGCUUGAGAGAUAUUUAAUAAUAAUUUUCUUUUAGGAAGUGUUUUUACAACACCAUAAGAGCUAAACACUAUUUAAUUAAAGUAAGGAAAUGAUGAGAUGUAAAGAUUAUAAAUAGAACCAUUUGUUACAUGCAAAUGAGAGAAACAUGGCUGAAAUUAUUAAGUUUGUUUGUUUUAUGAUUAUCUUUCUUUUCCUAAUUUUUGUUGCAAAGAACGUUGAAGCAACAAGAUGUUACACAGACGCUGAUUGUCCAAAAGAUUCGUGCCCCAAAGCUCGUACGAAACCAAAGUGUGUCGCUUUCGUAUGUAGAUGUGUUCCAAUAAUUUAUCCAGAUAAAUAGUGUCAAAACGAAGAGAGUCCACAAAUGUUGUACUUGAAUAUUUCAUGAGUUAUAAUUUGCUUGUUGAAUGUCAUGCAAUAAUUUGAUUUUAUUUUUGCUUUUGUUUUUCUAGUUUCAAGAACCUCAUCAUUAUGGAUUUGUAAUCUUAGUAAUGUUAAUGAAAUGAAAUAAGGUAGCAAUAAUAUUAUUUA